UCCUCUCUCACUCACGUGAGUUCAUCCCCAAGAAACCCUAAGUGACUUAAGGUGAAGGGGUAGACUUAAGGUGAAGGGGAAGCUUGUGAUUAAGCCUAAGGAUUAGGAGGAGAUUUUGCUAGAGGAUGAUAGCAUUUGAGGUUCCCCGUUGACGUGGCUAGUCUAAGAGAUGAGCCUUAGAUCGGCUGCUUGCUUUUGGAGCUUAGCUUGAGGACUUGAUAGAAGUGACUCGUUUUGAGAGCGCGGCCUAGAGCUAGUUACUUUGGAAGUGACUUUGGUAUAAUGGUUUAGUUAGAAUCUAAAUUGAUGUACUAGAGUUGAUUUGUAUUAUAGAUAGUGAGUUGUUGUAAAAUGGAUUGUAGUCAGAAUCUUUGUAGCCUGUGCGUUUGGGCCUUGUGAGUUGGUCUGAGCGUGGCAUAAUACCCCAUUGGUUUAGAAUUUAAAUUCGCUUCCGCAUCGAUUUCCAAUAUGGUUAGUAAGAAAGAAUUGUUUAUUUAUGGUUUAUUCCUGUAUUGGAAAUUGGGGGUGUUACACUCAGGCCCAGACCCAUGUUUUAAAUUUCCGUAACAGGCCCAUGUAUAAUUUUUUAAAACUCGGCUCGGCCUACUUCCAUCCCUAGGUGGAUAUCAUUACUCUUAAAUGAAUUUACAUAGAAAAUAAAGUUAA